GUGUCCAUCAGUCCAUCUGGUGAAAUAGUGGAGGGAGAUUCAGUGACUCUGAUCUGCAGCAGUGAUUCAAACCCUCCUGCUCUGAACUUCAGCUGGUUUAAGGAGAAUCAAACCUCAGCUGUUGGAUCUGGACAGAGUUUCAGCAUCUCCAGCUUUAACUCCAGUCACAGUGGACAUUACUCCUGUGAAGCUCAGAAUAAACAUGGAUCUCAGAGAUCAGCAUCUGUUUCAGUCACUGUUAAAGGGGUUCAGAGAGCUGCUCUACUCACAGUUACUGGGAUUGUGGUGGGAUGUGGAGGAUUGAUUUUCAUCAUCAUCAUCAUCAUUGUGUUCAUAAGUAGGAAGAGGAGAAGCGAAGGUGGAAGUGAAGAUGUGAAUCAAAAGCAGGCG